rnacentral:lncRNA from 1 species
CUCAUGCUGCAGCCUCGCCCAUCUCUAGAUAGUGCGUAUAACAUUCUGCUUUAGGAUGAAAGGCAAAGACAAGUUACAUCAUCACCCUCUCAGUUCCGUAGUGACUCCAGUGCUUUCAACACUUAUUUCACCAACAAAGUCCCUGGGAUACCUGCCCAUUCUAAACAGUUCAAUCAAAGAGUCGGCUUUGAUUUCAACAAGACAAACUUAGUGUGUAGAUAUUGCAAAAAACUUGGUCAUAUGAUUGACAAGUGCUACAAACUCCAUGGAUUCCCAC